rnacentral:lncRNA from 1 species
CCAAAUGAUCCCAGGCCUUGCUGUAGGCUCUGAGCAAUGCAGAAUGGCCGCCUCAUCAUAGCCCCAUGGGACGCAGCCUGGUGUGGUGUGAGGAGCAUGAGGCAUGAAGUCAGCGUGGAUCUCAACCUGGACCCACAGGAGCUGUGAGGCCUCAGGAGAGUGAUGUCAUUAGGCCUUUGAGCCUUGGAUUCCUCAUCUGGGAAAUGGCCAUAAUACCUUCCCAUCAGUAGGUGCCUCGUAAAUUAAGUGACAUCCAGCAGGAAGCAGCCCAGGCUGGUUCUGCAGCUCAGUGACCAUCAGGGACUAGACUCCUUCUAACCGAUGCCCUCCAUCUUCCACACAUGGCUUCCACCUCAGGACCCAAGACGGCUGUUCAUAUCCACACUCCGGAAACUGAAGAAGGAAGAAACAAAGAAGAGAUCAGCUUUUCUCUCCAAGGACACUGCUAUCAUCUGAACACAUCCCCCUCAAAUUCAUAUGUUGAAACUUAAUCACCAAUGUGACAGUAUUAGUAGGUGGUGCUUUUAGGAGGUGAUUAAGUCAUGAGGGCAGAGCCUUCAUGAAUGAGAUUAGUACCCUUAUCAAAAAGGCACAAGGGACCUGUUUUCCCUUUCACCACAUGAGGACGCAGCAAGAAGGCGCCAUCUUGGAAGCAGAGAGCAGGCCCUCACCAGAUACUGAAUCUGCUGGUACCUUGAUUUUGGACUUCCCAGUCUGC